rnacentral:hammerhead_ribozyme from 1 species
AUCCAGCUGACGAUUCCCAAAUAGGACGAAACGCACGUUCUGGAU